rnacentral:rRNA from 1 species
GUCCACGCCCUAAACGAUGUCGACUAGGUGUUGGGGAAGGAGACUUCCUUAGUACCGCAGCUAACGCGUGAAGUCGACCGCCUGGGGAGUACGGUCGCAAGAUUAAAACUCAAAGGAAUUGACGGGGACCCGCACAAGCGGUGGAUGAUGUGGAUUAAUUCGAUGCAACGCGAAAACCUUACCUACCCUUGACAUGGUCGGAAGCCCGCUGAGAGGUGGGUGUGCCCCGAAAGGGAGCCGACACACAGGUGCUGCAUGGCUGUCGU